rnacentral:rRNA from 1 species
GACUAGGUUUUAGGUUUAUUAAACAUUUAAUAGAAUUAACUUUAAUAGAAUUAAUUUUAGUACAGUUUAUGGAAAAAUUUUAUGUAAUUAUAGUAUAUUAGUAUUGUAAAAGAAUAUUGAAAUAUUAUUUAUUUGAUGGAAAGUAGAAUUGAUUUUUUGUACCUUGUGUAUCAGGGUGGAUUAAUUAGGAGUUAUUUAUUUAAUUUUCUCGAAUUUAGGAGAGCUAAUAGUUUAUAUAAUUUAUUGUUUCAUUAAUAUAAUAUAUGAAUUGUUGGUAAUGAAAAGUUAUUCGUUCUUAAAUAUAUCUAGUUUAUCAAGAAAUGAAUUUAAUUCAGGGGAUGAUUAUUGUAAUUGUUUAUUUAUUUAGGUUUUUAUAAUUUAUUUUCAAGUAAUUAGGGGGAUAAGCUCUUAGUUAAAUACCUAUAAUUUAUUUUUUAAAUAUAAAAGUUGUAAGUUUAGAAAUAUCUAUCAAUUUAAUUUGUUAUAAUUAAUUUAUGGAAGAUUUAAUUUUAUAAUUAUUUAGGUAAUUUAUUGAUAUAACUUUAUUAAUUAAGUAUUUGGUGAGAUAAUGAUUUAAUUAGUAUAAUAAGAUGUUUGAAUAAAUUAAAUUAAGAAUUUAUUUAGAGGAAUUCGGCAAAAAUUUUACUCGCCUGUUUAACAAAAACAUGUCCUUUAGAUUUAUAAUUUGAGGUCUAACCUGCCCAGUGAUUAUUAUGAUUAAAUGGCCGCAGUAUUUUGACUGUGCAAAGGUAGCAUAAUCAUUAGUUUUUUAAUUGAAAGCUUGUAUGAAUGGUUGGACGAGGUAAAAACUGUCUUUAUUUAAUUAAAAUUAUAAUUUAACUUUUGAGUUAAAAGGCUUAAAUUUGGCUAAUAGACGAGAAGACCCUAUAGAUCUUUAUAAAAUAUUUAUUUAUUGUGUUAGGAUUAUUUGUUUAUAGAUAAUGAAGUUUAUUUUAUUGGGGUAAUAUAGAGAUUUAAUUAAUUCUUUGAAUAUUUAAACAAGAGUAAUUGGUUGAGUGAUCCAUUAUUAUUGAUUGUAAGAUUAAGUUACCUUAGGGAUAACAGCGUAAUUUUUUUAGAGAGUUCAUAUCGAUAAAAGAGUUUGCGACCUCGAUGUUGGAUUAAAAAUUAUUCUAGGUGUAGAAGUCUAGAAAUUUGGUCUGUUCGACCAUUGAAUUUUUACAUGAUCUGAGUUCAGACCGGCGUAAGCCAGGUCGGUUUCUAUCUUUAGUUAGGGAAAAUAUUUCAGUACGAGAGGACCAAAUAUUUGAUAUAAGAUAUUUCAGUUUUGAAUAUUAUU